rnacentral:lncRNA from 1 species
CAUCAUCUUCAUCAUCAUCCUCGGGGCCUUCAUCGCCAUUUUUGGGUUCUUCCUCCUCAUCCUCGGGGCCUUCACCAUUGGGGCCUUCAUCGCCUCCACCAUCAUCAUCUUCAUCAUCAUCAUCGAAGCCUUCAUCACCUCCACCAUCAUCAUCCUCAGGGCCUUCAUCGUCGUUUCCGGCCUCUCCCUCCUCCUCCUCCUCCUCAGCCCCUCCCUUCAAUCUUCAUCCCCUCCUCCUCCUCCAUCAUCAUCAUCAGCGGGGCCUUCAUCGCCUCCACCACCACCAUCAUCAUCAUCAUUGCCUCCAUCUCCAGCACUGGGGCCUUCAUCACCACCACCAUCAUCAUCAUCACCUCCAUCUUCA